rnacentral:snoRNA from 1 species
UCCUUCUGGUCUUUUUCUCAUCAGAUCUCAACACUGGUCUUGGAGGUCAUGAAGAAGUAAAAUGACACCGAAUCUGGCCUCCCAACAAUCAAGUCUGGAAUAGAGCACAGGUCCACACUCAAACAAGU